ensembl:snRNA Gm26111 U6 spliceosomal RNA
GUGCUCACUUCCGCAGCACAUACACUAAAAUUGGAACAAUACAGAGAAGAUUAGCAUGGCCCUUGCACAAGUGUGACAUGCAAGUUCAUGAAGCUUCCAUAUUUGG